rnacentral:lncRNA from 1 species
AGUGACUGAUCCAAUGAAAUCUCAAAAACUUCUUCUUUCUUCUUUCCUCCUAAGCAGACACUCCUGCUUAAAAUGCCCCACUACACCACACUUGUAGUACUUUUUAGCCUCCAUGCUGCUAUCCUACUAAGGCUAUCCUCACCCCACCUAUCCACCCUUUUUCUUCCCUUUUUUAGGUCGCUCUGACACUGCAAGACCCUCUGAGAAGACCUCCCUCUUC